rnacentral:misc_RNA from 1 species
ACCCAAGAGGGCCCCGGCAGC